rnacentral:tRNA from 1 species
UCCCCGGUGGCUCAGAUGGUAAAGUGUCUGCCAGCAAUGCAGGAGGCCUGGGUUCGAUCCCUAGGUUGGGAA